rnacentral:rRNA from 1 species
AUUGAACGCUGGCGGCAUGCCUUACACAUGCAAGUCGAACGGCAGCACGGGAGCAAUCCUGGUGGCGAGUGGCGAACGGGUGAGUAAUAUAUCGGAACGUGCCCAGUCGUGGGGGAUAACGCAGCGAAAGCUGUGCUAAUACCGCAUACGAUCUAAGGAUGAAAGCGGGGGAUCGCAAGACCUCGCGCGAUUGGAGCGGCCGAUAACAGAUUAGCUAGUUGGUGGGGUAAAGGCCCACCAAGGCGACGAUCUGUAGCUGGUCUGAGAGGACGACCAGCCACACUGGAACUGAGACACGGUCCAGACUCCUACGGGAGUCAGCAGUGGGGAAUUUUGGACAAUGGGCGCAAGCCUGAUCCAGCAAUGCCGCGUGCAGGAUGAAGGCCUUCGGGUUGUAAACUGCUUUUGUACGGAACGAAACAGCCCUUUCUAAUACAGGGGGCUAAUGACGGUACCGUAAGAAUAAGCACCGGCUAACUACGUGCCAGCCGCCGCCGUAACAC